GCUUGCACUCGGUUGAGAAGAGUCUCAUCCGGUAGAGCGAAUGAUUAGAGGCAUUGGGGUCGAAACGACCUCAACCUAUUCUCAAACUCCAAAUAGAUGAGAUCCCCGGCUUUCUUAAAAGUGAAGCCGUGGGAAUAGGAUCAGAGUGCCAAGUGGGCCAAUUUUGGUAAGCAGAACUGGCGCUGUGG
rnacentral:rRNA from 1 species